GAGUUUGAUCAUGGCUCAGAACGAACGCUGGCGGCAUGCCUAACACAUGCAAGUCGAACGCUCGGAGCAAUCCGGGAGUGGCGCACGGGUGAGUAACGCGUGGGAACCUGCCUAGUGGUAAGGAAUAACCGCGGGAAACUGCGGCUAAUACCUUAUGAGCCCUACGGGGGAAAGAUUUAUCGCCAUUAGAGGGGCCCGCGUCCGAUUAGCUAGUUGGUGAGGUAACGGCUCACCAAGGCGACGAUCGGUAGCUGGUCUGAGAGGAUGAUCAGCCACACUGGGACUGAGACACGGCCCAGACUCCUACGGGAGGCAGCAGUGGGGAGUAUUGGACAAUGGGGGCAACCCUGAUCCAGCAAUGCCGCGUGAGUGAUGAAGGCCUUAGGGUUGUAAAGCUCUUUCGACGGGGAAGAUGAUGACGGUACCCGUAGAAGAAGCCCCGGCUAACUUCGUGCCAGCCGCCGCAGU
rnacentral:rRNA from 1 species